rnacentral:tRNA from 1 species
GGCGGCGUAGCUCAGUUGGCUAGAGCGAGGGUCUCAUAAUCCCUAGGUCCGCGGUUCGAUUCCGCGCGCCGCCA